rnacentral:rRNA from 1 species
UACGUAGGGGGCUAGCGUUGUCCGGAAUCAUUGGGCGUAAAGAGCGUGUAGGCGGCUCGGUAAGUCCGCUGUGAAAGUCCAGGGCUCAACCCUGGAAUGCCAGUGGAAACUGUCGAGCUAGAGUCCGGAAGAGGCGAGUGGAAUUCCUGGUGUAGCGGUGAAAUGCGCAGAUAUCAGGAGGAACACCAAUGGCGAAGGCAGCACUCUGGGACGUGACUGACGCUGAGACGCGAAAGCGUGGGGAGCAAACAGG